rnacentral:rRNA from 1 species
UAGGUGUGGGUCCCAUUCCACGGGGUCCGUGCCGCAGCUAACGCAUUAAGCGCCCCGCCUGGGGAGUACGGCCGCAAGGCUAAAACUCAAAGGAAUUGACGGGGGCCCGCACAAGCGGCGGAGCAUGCGGAUUAAUUCGAUGCAACGCGAAGAACCUUACCAAGGCUUGACAUAUACCGGAAACUCUCAGAGAUGGGGGCCCCGCAAGGUCGGUAUACAGGUGGUGCAUGGUUGUCGUCAGCUCGUGUCGUGAGAUGUUGGGUUAAGUCCCGCAACGAGCGCAACCCUCGUUCUAUGUUGCCAGCACGUGAUGGUGGGGACUCAUAGGAGACUGCCGGGGUCAACUCGGAGGAAGGUGGGGAUGACGUCAAAUCAUCAUGCCCCUUACGUCUUGGGCUUCACGCAUGCUACAAUGGCCGGUACAGAGGGCUGCGAUACCGCGAGGUGGAGCGAAUCCCUUAAAGCCGGUCUCAGUUCGGAUUGGGGUCUGCAACUCGACCCCAUGAAGUCGGAGUCGCUAGUAAUCGCAGAUCAGCAACGCUGCGGUGAAUACGUUCCCGGGCCUUGUACACACCGCCCGUCAAGUCACGAAAGUCGGUAACACCCGAAGCCGGUGGCCCAACCCUUGUGGGGGGAGCCGUCGAAGGUGGGGCUG